CCUACGGGGAGCAGCAGUGGGGAAUAUUGGACAAUGGGCGAAAGCCUGAUCCAGCCAUGCCGCGUGUGUGAAGAAGGCCUUCGGGUUGUAAAGCACUUUCAGUGGGGAAGAAAGCCUUGGGGCUAAUACCCUCGAGGAAGGACAUCACCCACAGAAGAAGCACCGGCUAACUCCGUGCCAGCAGCCGCGGUAAUACGGAGGGUGCGAGCGUUAAUCGGAAUUACUGGGCGUAAAGCGCGCGUAGGCGGUCUGAUAAGCCGGUUGUGAAAGCCCCGGGCUCAACCUGGGAACGGCAUCCGGAACUGUCAGGCUAGAGUGCAGGAGAGGAAGGUAGAAUUCCCGGUGUAGCGGUGAAAUGCGUAGAGAUCGGGAGGAAUACCAGUGGCGAAGGCGGCCUUCUGGACUGACACUGACGCUGAGGUGCGAAAGCGUGGGUAGCAAACAGGAUUAGAUACCCGAGUGUC
rnacentral:rRNA from 1 species